AAUUUACAUAGAUGAAAACAAAAUACGUGCCACACAGUAAUGCCUUAUUCUUUAUUUUUAUAGAAUGUUUCAGAUGAGAGGAUGAGAAGCAACAAGUAUCCAGUAUUCUGAAGGAUGUCAUUAUGGGGUUGCCUAGGUGACUCACUAGGAUGUAUCAUCAUGUUAUGCCUCAGACUCUUUUGGAGUUUUGGUAUUACAUUUACAAGUGGUCCUAGAGCAAAUUAAGCCUG
rnacentral:lncRNA from 1 species